UCUCUCUCUCUCUCCCUCUCCCUCUCCAUUUGCACGCGGCGGGAAACGGAUCAUUUCGCGCAGAGCUCUCCCUCCACAAUCCCCUUCAAAACCCUAAUCCCCAAAUCCUGCUCCUCGAUUCCUCCCCCUUCGCUCGCGUCGGAUUCUUUGCGCUCGCAGAGAGCGAGAGAGAGAGAGGGGUAGAGGUAGAGGUAGAUUCGGCGAAGAGAGGCGAAACCCACUUCGAAUUUGUGGUGAAUUUGUGGUCUUUCUCGGGAAUUUUGCUGUCGCUCUUCCAUGGCUUUUCCGGCGAGAGCCACGGAAGACGACACCAACGUCGACGCCCACACGGCCACCCCGGUCCGCUACGUCUCCCUGGACGAGGUCUACUCCGCGACCACCCCCUGCCUGGCCGCCCGGGGAUCGUCCGCGCUAAUGUCCAAAAAGAUCAAGGCCCGGAAGCUCCCCUCCGUCGCCGAGCAGUCGGACGGGCCGGAAGAGGAGCUCGACGACCGGGCCGGUGAUGACCACAUGUGCAACGGGGACUGCAAGGCUUAUGACGGUGGCUUUCGCGGUUUUCGGAGACGGCCCUCGAAAGGUAAUGCGCCGCUUGUCCACGUGUACUGUCGCCGCUCUAAGCGGCCCGAUUGGGACGUGGAUAAGCCCUCAUUGUUCGAUUUAUUGGUCGCUCGUGCCGAGGCCGCGUUGAAAUUGUCUAUGAAGACAGAAUUUUGUGAGGAUUUUGAAAUGGAUGAGGGCAUGGAGGAGGGCAUUAAUUGCUCUAAAUCCAAGUCCGAAACCUCGCCGCGCAAGAAGAGGAAAUGUGGUGGUGGCGAGCUCGCAAAAUUGGGAGUUCGCUCGAGUGACUUGCACAAUAUGGGUGGACCUCGGUUGAGAGAGAAUCGAAAGCCUAAUAGCAACAGUUACUGUGACCAGCGAAAGAGGAAGAAACGCGACUCUAGCGUCAAAGACAACGUUAAAGGUUUGCCCACAAAGAAAAGAUGGGUGAGGUUGUCUUUUGACGAUGCCGAUCCCAAAAUCUUCAUUGGUUUGCAAUGCAAGGUUUUUUGGCCAUUGGAUGCAGAUUGGUACACGGGCAGUAUUCUGGGGUACGAUUCGGAGACAAACAAACAUCAUGUCAAGUAUGAGGAUGGAGAUAAGGAAGAUAUAGUUCUUACAAAUGAGAAGAUCAAAUUUUAUUUGUCUCCCAAUGAGAUGCGGCAGUUGAACCUGAAAUACAGCAUUAAAAGUAUGGAUUCUGAUGCAUGUGAUUAUGAAGAGAUGGUUGUGUUAGCUGCCAGCUUGGAUGAUUGCCAAGAGCCUGAACCUGGGGAUAUUGUAUGGGCUAAGCUCACUGGUCAUGCAAUGUGGCCUGGGCUUGUAGUGGACGAAUCCCACAUAAGUGCUCAGGGGAUUUUAAAUAAAACUUCUGUUGGCAGAUCAGUUUCUGUUCAAUUUUUCGGUACCCAUGAUUUUGCAAGGAUUAAGACAAAGCAGGUUAUUUCCUUUCUCAGAGGACUUCUUUCUUCUUUGCACUUGAAAUGCAAGAAACCUCGCUUCAUUAGAGCUCUAGAAGAAGCAAAAACAUAUCUGAGUGAACAAAAACUUCCCAGAAGAAUGCUUCUGCUGCAGAGUGGCCGUACCACUGAUGAUUGUGGAAGUGCUAGUGAUGAAGAUGGAGAGAGUGGAGAUUCGGCUGAAGACUGCAUGAGCAAUGAAAAUAGCCAAAGAAAAUUGGAGGGCCUUGGGACCCUUCCAUAUGUACUGGGAGAUCUGCAAGUAGUUAGCCUUGGAAAGAUCGUGAGGGACUCAGAAUUCUUUCAAGAUGGAAAGUACAUCUGGCCAGAAGGAUAUACUGCCGUGAGGAAGUUUACUUCAAUUAAGGAUCCAAGGGCUCGUGCUUCAUAUAAAAUGGAGGUGUUGAGAGACCCAGAGUUGAAGAUCCGACCUCUAUUUAGAGUAACUUUAGAUAGUGGAGAGCAGUUUAAAGGGUCUACACCAUCUGCUUGCUGGGAUAAGAUUUACAAAAGAUUAAAGAAGGCAUGUGGCGGUAUGGCUGAUGGUUUUAAUGCUGAAGCUGGCGUGCAAACGAUGUUCAAACAUGGUUCACAUAUGUUUGGUUUCUCUAAUCCUAAAGUAGCGAAACUUAUACAGUGUUUGUCAAAAUCCAGACAUUUGACAAAGUUCUCUAUGAGCAAAUUAGCUUCUGGAAAAUUUAGAGAUUUCCCAGUUGGAUAUAGACCUGUUCGUGUUGAGUGGAAAGACCUUGACAAAUGCAGUGUUUGUCAUAUGGAUGAGGAGUAUGCAAACAAUCUUUUCCUCCAAUGCGAUAAAUGCAGAAUGAUGGUUCAUGCUAAAUGCUAUGGAGAGCUAGAGCCCGUAGGCGGUGUACUAUGGUUAUGCAAUCUAUGUCGCCCAGGGGCUCCUGAUCCUUUGCCUCCAUGCUGUCUUUGCCCAGUUAUAGGGGGUGCUAUGAAACCCACAACUGACGGCCGAUGGGCUCAUUUAGCUUGUGCUAUGUGGAUACCAGAAACUUGCUUGUCCGAUGUGAAGAGAAUGGAGCCCAUUGAUGGUAUCAGUAGAAUUAACAAGGAUCGCUGGAAGCUGUUGUGCAGCAUCUGUGGCGUACAAUAUGGCGCCUGUAUCCAAUGCUCAAACAAUACUUGUCGAGUAGCAUAUCAUCCGCUGUGUGCAAGAGCAGCUGGUCUUUGUGUCGAGCUUGAGGAUGAGGAAAGGCUUCAUCUCCUUUCAAUAGAUGAUGAAGAUGAAGAACACUGCAUUCGUCUUCUCUCUUUCUGCAAGAAGCACAGACAACCAUCUAAUGAGCGUCCUGGUUCAGACGAGCACGUCAAUCAAGUUGAGCGUCAAUGUUCUAACUACAACCCGCCCUCUAAUCCAUCUGGAUGUGCUCGUUGUGAGCCUUACAGCUCUUUUGGGAGAAGAGGACGGAAAGAACCUGAAGCACUUGCUGCUGCAUCCUUGAAACGCCUUUUUGUUGAGAACCAGCCUUACUUGGUCGGUGGGUACAGUCAACAUUUAUUGGCAGGCUUGCCUUCCAAUGGAGUCGUCUCCAAGUACUCUUCUCGCCUUCACAAACUAAGGUCCCAUCAAGUUGAUACUUCUGAUAGCGUAUCUUCUAUGGCGGAGAAGUAUAAAUUCAUGAGGCAGACCUUUAAAAAGAGAUUAGCAUUUGGGAAAUCAGGAAUACAUGGAUUUGGUAUCUUCGCUAAGCAGCCACACAGGGCAGGGGAUAUGGUCAUUGAGUACUCAGGCGAACUAGUUCGACCUCCUAUAGCCGACAGAAGAGAACAUUUCAUAUACAAUUCACUGGUGGGUGCUGGGACAUACAUGUUCCGAAUUGAUGAUGAACGAGUUAUUGAUGCCACAAGAGCAGGAAGCAUUGCUCAUCUGAUUAAUCAUUCGUGUGAGCCAAAUUGUUAUUCUAGAGUCAUAAGUGUUGACGGUGAUGAGCACAUUAUUAUCUUUGCCAAAAGGGAUAUUGAAAGAUGGGAAGAGCUCACCUAUGAUUACCGGUUUUUCUCAAUUGACGAACAAUUGGCUUGUUACUGUGGCUUCCCUGGAUGUCGUGGGGUUGUCAAUGACACUGAAGCAGAGGAGCAAGCAGCAAAGCUCUAUGUGCCUCGCAGUGAUUUGGUUGAGUGGAAAGGAGAUUGAAAUGUUCUGGGCAGACUUAAUCUUUUUGAGACUAAUAGAAAUAUGGUUCAAUAAUGCCUUUGUGAUGAGGACAAAGCUGGAACCGUAGCUGCAUCAGAGUUUUCUAUGUCAUACAGUUGCUCUUUCCUUUGGCUUUCAGACUGUUCUCAGCCUUCUUGUAUGCAAGGGGUUUAAUCUUCUAACAGCCUUCCCUGAGAUUCAUUCAAGGGGUAGAUGGCACACUAAUUUCAGAUCAUACUGUCUUGGUUUUUUAGAGUUUCCAAUUUUUGGCCUUAAUGUGGUACAUUUCAUGUGACUAGACUUCUGAAUGAAGGCUUAAGAAAUUAGUCAGGCAGAUGCCUAGAGUACUGAUUUAGGUGAAGAAGAUACAAAAACAAGAAGACUGUUUUCUCUCUUCAGACGAUGGUUUCUGGACAAAUGCUAGAGAUUUCUUUGAGAACAGCCCGGUUGAAGUCAGAUGAAGUUUCUCAUUGCCAAAAUAUGCUCAUGAGCCUCAUGGAGUGGUUUGCUACCUUUUUCUGGUCUAUUGAUCUCAGCCUGUCAUUUACCGUGGAGGAUAGGAUAUAGUGCUCUUUAUUGCCCUCGUCUCAUCCUCUACAUCAUAUCUAAUUCCUCCUGGUUUGGUGAAAGUCCGUUAGUUCAGCAUCUUUUUUCCUUAAGCUGACCUCUCUUGGUCACUCAGGAUCUCCUAAUUGAUUCAUAAAGACUCAAAUUCCAAGCAGAAAACAGAGGCGAUAGGAUGUUUUGAGUCACUAUCCACAUUCUGUUUUCAGCUGCAACCUUCUGCCUGUCUCAUUCUCAGGCAUCCAUUUGACUAUGCUAAAGUUUGUAGAAUAGUUAAUUCAGAGAAGUGUAUAUAAUACAGUGAUCAUUAUGUACAGUUGAAGUCAACUUUCUUCAUCAAUUUCCUUUUUUCUUCUCUUUAUUUUAGAUCUUUAUGAAAAUUGGUGGAUGCUGGCUUUAUGCUGAAAUUGUUAUGGAUCUGGUCGAUUCCUAUGAAGUCUAAAGUUGGAGUUAGGUACUUAUCAUA